CAUCGGCACUGGGUUAGCUUUAGUAGCUUGCCAAGAGCUCAAGACACCCGUGACAGCAGGCUGUCUCUCGGCCGAGUGGCUAACACCAGAGAAGUGGAACUAUUCUCGAACCUGUGAAUCAUGGCUCAGGCAGAGGAUAUCUUUCUCAGGGCUAAACAUCGAACGUUUCGUGGACUUACUGAAGAUAUCGAGCAUGAGUGGACGGGUUCCUUCUUCUUCAUUCAGGCUGCAGACCCCCAGCUUGGCCUGAUGAAGGCCUGGAGGGAGGGUGACUGCCAUGGCGGGGGAGAUGAAUGGCGAGAGGAAGUUGAGCUCACCAAACAAGCGGUGGAGGCCAUGAACCAGCUCCGACCUCCCCCGAGGUUUAUGGUGCUGUGUGGUGACCUGGUGCAUGCCAUGCCAGGCACCCCUUUUAGAAAUGAACAGGAGCGAGACCUAAAGAAUGCAUUGAGGGGAGCAGACCCUUCCAUUCCACUAGUGUUUGUCAGUGGCAAUCAUGACCUUGGAAACACCCCUACCCCAAGAACAGUGGAGCAGUACUGCACUGAAUGGGGAGAUGACUAUUUCAGCUUUUGGGUGGGUGGAGUCCUCUUCCUGGUUCUAAACUCUCAAUUGUUCUAUGAUGCUUCGGCCUGCCCUCAGUUGAAGGAGGCCCAGGAAACGUGGCUCGAAGAGCAGCUGAGCAAAGUCUCAUAUUCCUCUUGUACGGCACCGAAACACAUCAUUGUGUUUCAGCACAUUCCUCUGUAUCUAAAGAACCAUGAUGAGGAAGAUGACUACUUCAACUUGCAGAGGGAAGUCAGACAAAAACUGAUUGACCGAUUUAAGAGCGCUGGGGUAAAGGCGGUCUUCUCUGGCCACUAUCACCGAAAUGCGGGCGGCUACCACGACGGCCUCGACAUGGUCGUGAGCUCGGCCAUCGGCUGCCAGCUGGGUGAGGACACCCACGGCGUCAGGGUGGUGGUCGUGACGGCUGAUCAGGUGAUCCAUCGUUACCACAGCUUGGAGCAGAUGCAAAGACGAGGGAUGGACGAGGACCUCAGGAAGCUCCUGCAAGCCUGAUAGUCAAUGAAGUCUUUUUUUUAAGUUUUUUUUAUAAAGAAUGUGAACUUUUCAAAAUAUUUUGGGGUCUCUUAAAACCUUGCCAGAUUAAAAACACAUUUACAUUAUAUGACAGUGGAACCUCUCAGGUCAAACACAAUCUAUUCCACGAUGCUUGUUCAGAUUUUUAUUGUUUGUUUCAGUUCUAUUUGUCUCAUAGAAAAUGGGAGUACAAAUAUUCAGUUAUUGGGUCAAACUGUACCCAUCAUAAAACCUAUGAACUGAAAAUGCAAAGUUAUAAUAAUAUAACAAUAAUAUAAUAAAGCUAGAUUACCGUAAAUUCCCUAUAAGCCGCACGUAGCAAAUGGGAAAACAGAAAAAAAAAGUUCAUAUAUAUAUAGGCCGCACUUAUAAGCCGCAGGUGUCCGCAUUGUGACAUGGGAUAUUUACACAGUAAGACACACUAUAAACCUUGCAAAUCUACCUACACUUGGUGGUCCUAGUGUCACUCAUUAGCUCCAGUGAGAUGUGACACGCUUUUUUUCCAGAGUUCAACAGCUGCCGUGGGCCAAUCAGAGGCUGUAGUAAUUCUACUCUUGAUCAAACUUCAAAACACGAUUGCUGAAUAGGACUUCAAAACAUGUGAUAGAGCUUCUAUUGUGGAAAUGCUACUUUUUGUUUCGGCACUCAAAGCAUCAUGGGAACUGUAGUUCUUUUAGCCAUAAAUUAGCCGCAUCAUGGUUUGAGCCUCAGAGUUGAAGCAUGUGAAAAAAGUAGCAUCUUGUAGUCCAGAAAUUAAGAUAGAUUAAAGUACUCACGCUUUGAUGACGUAGCAAAGUGCAGUUUCCUUUAAGUCAUACACGUACAACCUUCUGUGGUGAAAUCACAAAAAACACAAAAAAACACUUAUGGAGCUCAGCCUUCAUAUGCUUACUGAGCUGAAGUCUCACAGAAUUUGAUGAAAUCUCACACGAUACACUGAUAACUUGGGUGAUGUCACCAAUCAUGUUUUUUUUUUCCAUAUUGUAAGUAUGAACUUUGGUCUUUCGGAUUGUUUGAAUUUUGAGGGUCCACUGUACUGUGCUAAGAAUUAUUUUUGGAAGAAGUAGUACUCAUCCAUCAUGUUAUCGCAGCAUUGCGACGAGAACAAAUGUAUCUUUCACAGUUCCAAGUGUGUUCGCUUGUCAUAUCCGUUACUGCUAUUUGCUUUUGUCACAGUCAUAUUUGUGGUCCAUGAAGUCAUCCUAUGCAAAAUACAGGUGCUUUUUAUGUCAUGAUGUUUUAGUGCAGCUACACAUUUUACACUUUGGCAGCCCUGUAAGCAAUGGUGUUGAUGUCUGUCUCCCCCUAGUGGAAUUCACGGGAAAACACUGUAGCUACAUGGAUGCACUUGCAACUCUUCUUUCUCCUUUGCUGUGUGACAACGGCAUUAUGCACAAUUGUUUUGAUGCGAGUGAAAAAUGUGGAUGUAGCUUUGUAAUAUUGGUUAAUAAGUCCAGGGCCGCCCCACCAUCCAUGAUUAAAAUAUUAGCAUUCAACAUUUCAUCACAGCCACACCCGACCAUGAUAAAUAAAUUUCCACGAUAUAGGGUUCAUUGUUAAUAAAUGGAAUAUUUUCAUAGUUAGAGCUCAGAAAACCUGUUUAGGACUUUCUAAUGACUGGUUUUCAACAUUAUUAGAGCCCUGUAGACAUGAAAUAACACCCCAAUAGUCACCUUUACACUCCUGUUAUUCUCUGUUUACAACACAUUGCUCAACUCUUAUGCUGCAGGGAUUUGAGACGGCUGCUAGCUAGCAAGCUAGUGAGCUAGCAUGCUAACCAGUUAGCCCCGAUGUAUUUCUUGUAAAGACAAAAACUUACCACUUCCACACGGAAUGGGAGGAUAACUUUUUUUCACUCUAUCAUGUCGGACAUGCCAUGGCUGACUUCAUACAGUGUUAAGGUAAUGUCUCAAUGUUUUGUGUCUUUACUACCGCCCAGUGACCAGAAUACUACAUAUCACUUGUAUCUUGAUGUUUUAACUAAUAAUAGACCAUACUCUACCACAAAACAGCGGUCAUUUAAUUUCUGGAAAAACGCAAUAUAGUGAGGGAGCGAUAAUCGAACCCCGAUAUUGCGAAGGAUGACUUUAGUGCGACUGCUUGACUCAGCAUUCAUACCAUAAGCAAAAGCAGCAGCAGGAAAUGUACACCAGCUUUAGUGUGCUCAUUUUUAAUACCUUUGCAUGAAUUAAAGCACACUAAUAUAAAAUGUCUCAUUUAAAUCAAAUGACUAUUAAGGAUUAUAAUUGUGUUUCAAUACUCAAUAAUCUUUCACAUGUAGGUCCUACCACAAAAAUGCAUGAGUACGGAAUCCAUUAGAGGAUUACAUUAUUUUUACAUUUAGGAUUUGAGAGUCAUAUAUAGUAUGGUUGUCGCCUCUGAUUGGAUUUGUGGUGUUUAUCUUGCAAGGCUUCAAAUCUCUUCUCUCCACUUUGCAGAAUAACAUUAAGUGUGAUCAUGUUAUUAAACGCUUAAUGAAAUAGCUGAUUUCAGGCUCUAAACACAUUUGGUAGUUGUGUGUAAUUUAUGUCAUUUAGAGCAGUAUCAAACCAAAGUCACUCUUUCCCAGCCUGAAUACGCUGAACGUGUACAAAUGUCGCUUUCUUUGAGAGUCCCAAAGGUCUCAAUUCAAUUACGCACACACAGAGACUCUCACAAUCACCCAGACGUACUUGGAAAUAGUUGUCAUGGCAACCCUUUAGCAACACAUCUGUGUGUCUUGGCAAGACUGCCAGAGAGCGUGUACUGUACAUGCGUGUGUGUUCGUGUCCAUCCGUAGUCCGCUUAGUGUCACAAACGAUUUCCCAUUAGCAUCACUAUCACUGACCUCAUUUUACACACACACUUUGUCACAUCCCUUCCCAAAACAAAAGGCAGUAGGUGAUGGAGGGAGAAGGUUUGGUGUAUUUGAGAAGAAUGGCUAAUGAGCGUAAUGUGUGGAAAACCGUCACUUUCACUUCCUGCCUGAGAAAACCUUACAUCGUCAUGCAUGUUUGUAUUGAUAUCAUAUCCAAGCUCAAAUCACUUGAUGUGACCGACCAGGUUAACCUGUGUAAUAGGUGUCAAAUUGGAUUAAAUGGUCCUAUAGAACAGUGGUCCCCAACCCCCGGGCCGCAGCCAUUUAGAUUAUUUCAUUUUUGGUGUUUUAUUUUGAAAAGUGGCCGGAUUCUCUGUUAUAUCCGUCUCACUUGACGCAUGUCCAUUGUGCGUGUGCUAACUUUUUUCUCAUGCCGCACAGAUAGACUACUACUGUAUUUUUACAAUUUUUCUUUCUCCUCAUAUUUGGUCUCAAAUGCUGAUACUAUGUGGGAAUGCAUAAAGAUCAGAUCCCCAGAUCUCUCCCCUCUUGAUUUCUGUCUUCUGGGCACUAGAAGGCCAUGGUGUAUCAGGUGAAGAUAAGAGACAUAAAUCUUCUCAAGGAAUGAAUCACCAACACCAUUACAAGCAUAACUUGUGCCAAUGCAAGUUCAUCAGCUGUGGAAAGCACGUACAGUAUGUGUUUUUGAACCAAUGGUUGUCAUAUAGAGCACAUUACAUACAGUAAAUAAAAACAGUUGUCCAACAUGAAUGAGUAUUUUUCCCAUAUAUGGAAACUUAUGGCCCACCUUGUAUAUCCCACUCGGUGGCACAGUAGAAUCAUAGUAUCCAUCCUCCCGUAACAUCUGCUGCUGUAAAUAUUGUUUUCAUUGAAGUCAUGUUAAAAUGGAAUUGUUGCAAUACUGGAGAUCUUGACGUAGGCCAAAAAUGGUAUCUUAUUCAUUAGUUGUUUUGAAGUGAAAAGCAUAUUGUCCUCAUAGAAUUGAGAUUGUCAGAAAUCUGCCACUACAAAGUUUGAACUUUUGUCAUGCUACACGUCAGGCGAGAUCUUUGGUAUCCAUCGCUGCUCGUCAAAACAAAGGGUGAGUAGACUUCUUUUUUUUUUUCAGUUUUUUCCCCAAUAGCAGAUUUAUGGUUAUUGUAUUUGUACUUUAUUUAUCCCACAGCAGGGAUAUUCACUUGUUACAGCAGCAAGCAAGAUACGCAAGUAAAGAAUACAGUGUAAAGAAUACAUAUUGACUACAACAUGGUUCAGGUGGUGCAGGUGUUGUAGAGCCUGACAGCGGUCGGUAUGAAGGACCUGCGGAACCUCUCCUUCUUACACCGUGGGUGUAACAGUCUGCUGCUGAGAGCUGCUAAGGGAACCCACAGUGUCAUGUAGCGGGUGAGAGGUGUUGUCCAUGAUGGAUGUCAGCUUAGCCAACAUCCUUCUCUCCCUCACUUCCUCCACGGAGUCCAGAGGACUGUCCAGGACAGAGCUCGCUCUCCUGAUCAGCCUAUUGAUCCUGCUCCUGUCCCUGUCCGUGCUGCCCCCUCUCCGGCAGCCCACAGCAUAGAAGAUGGCUGAGGCCACCACAGAGUCAUAAAAGGUCCGUAAAAGAGUCCUGCACACACCAAAGGACCUCAGUCUCCUCAGCAGGUGGAGGCGACUCUGGCCCUUCUUGUAGAGGGCGUGGGUGUUGACGGACCAGUCCAGUCUGUUGUUAAGGAGAACACCCAGGAAUUUGUAGCUGUCUACCAACUCUUAUGUCCGCUACCUGGAUGUUCACCGGUGUGAAGUGAGAUGUUUUCCUCUGGAAGUUAAUGAUCAUCUCCUUUGUCUUGCUGGUGUUGAGUUGCAGCUGGUUAAGCUCACUCCAGCUGACAAAGUCCAGGAUGACCGUCCUGUAUUCCAGAUCAUUCCCCUCUGAAACACAACCAAUGGCUGUGUCAUCGGAGAACUUCUGGAUGUGACACUGUGUGGAGUUGUGUGUGAAGUCCGAGGUGUAGAGGGUGAAGAGGAAAGGGGAGAGCACCGUACCCCGAGGGGCACCUGUGCUGCAGAGUACCAUGUCAGACACACAGUGACGGAGCCUCACAUACUGUGGUCUGUUGGUGAGGUAGUCUAUAACCCAUGCAGUCAGGUGUUGGUCUACUCCCACACUCUCCAUCUUCACUCUGAGCAGUGACGGCUGGAUGGUGUUAAAGGCACUGGAGAAGUCAAAAAACAUGACCCUCACAGCGCUCCUGCUGUCCUCCAGGUGUAGCAGUGAUCUAUGCAGCAGGUAGAUCACUGCGUCGUCCACUCCGAUCCGAGGCCGGUAAGCAAACUGCAGGGGGUCCAGCUGAGUGCCCACCAUGGGUCGUAGGUGCUGCAGGAUAAUUCUCUCCAUGGUCUUCAUCAGGUGAGAGGUCAAGGCAACAGGCCUGAAGUGGUUAGGCUCCUUGGGACGCGGUGUCUUUGGUAUCGGGACCACACAGGAGGUCUUCCACAGGGCCGGGACUUUCUCCAGGCUCAGGCUGAGAUUGAACAAGUGCCUGAGAACUCCACAGAGCUGGUCAGCACAGUCCUUGAGGAUUCUAAGGCUGAUGCUGUCCGGUCCCGGGGCCUUCCUUGCCUUGAUCUUCUUCAGCUGACGUCUCA